AGAGAUCAUGAUGCAGCCGUCCUUUUGGAUUUCUUUUUAAUAAUGUGUGACCCUUCACCUUUGAUCCCCUGACCUGCAUUACCUUGGUCUUAAAAUUUUGGUAGCAGAAAGCAAAUGUGCAAAGAGCAAUGGAAAACAAGUCAGAAGCUGCUGUCUGAUUCCAGAGGAACUCGUAUUUUAUGUAAAAAAAAUGCUCUCACCACACACUUGUUCAUGGGCGCAGCAAAGAAGAGGGAUCCACAGAGCUGGAGCCGUGAGGGCUGACACAUUGGAAUGAAAGCUGGCAGAGUUCGUAGGGAGAGCUUUCCCAUCCUGCCAGCCCCAUGUCUGGCUUUAAGACAGUUCUAUUAGUGAAUUAACUGUUCUCAAAACCCCAAAUUAAUUUGAACCGAAUGUUACUAAAAAUGAAAUAGAAUAAAGUGACCUACUCUUGUCUCAUCCGGAGUUACUAUGAAGGAGCUCCGCAGCCUGACUGAGCUUUGGAGAGCAGGGCUCUGUGCACACGCCUCCCGGUCCAGAGGCCUCCGUGACCAUCCGUGAUGCCACUCUGUCCCCUCAGCAAGCUGCCUUUUUCUUACUAGCACCUGCCCCAGCGGUGGUAUGUUUUCCUGUCAGUUACCAUCUUCUCAUGAGAAUGGAAGCUCCAUGAGAGCAGGGCCUUUGUCUUGUCUCCGUGUAUCUCCAGUGCAUAGGACAGUGCGGACACAGUGCAGAGUCUAAAUAAAUGCUGUUGAACGAA